rnacentral:rRNA from 1 species
AUGGUUUUAUGAUAAAGAAUAUAAAGUCUGGCCUGCCCACUGAUAUUAGUAAAGGGCUGCAGUAUUAUGACUGUACAAAGGUAGCAUAAUCAUUAGUCUUUUAAUUAAGGACUGGUAUGAAAGGUUAGACGAGGGGUUACUGUCUCAAAAAUAACUAAUGAAAUUUUCUUUAGUGUGAAAAGACACUAGUGAGUGAGUGGGACAAGAAGACCCUUUUAAGCUUUAAUGGAGUUUCAAAGAGUAAAAUAAUUAUAAUUUAUUCUAAGAUAUUUAAAUUUUGGCUGGGGCGGCAGAAAAAUAACAAUAAAUUAUAAAGAUAAUAUAUAAUUAGAUUAAACUAAGAACGUGUAAUAUGCACUCAAAGAACAAGCUACUAAAGGGAUAACAGGGUAAUAUUUCUUAGAGUUCAAAUCGACAGAAAUGGUUACCA